GACGAACGCUGGCGGCGUGCCUAAUACAUGCAAGUCGAGCGAACAGAUGAGGAGCUUGCUCCUCUGACGUUAGCGGCGGAUGGGUGAGUAACACGUGGGCAACCUGCCCUGCAGAUGGGGAUAACUCCGGGAAACCGGGGCUAAUACCGAAUGAUCAGUUUGUUCGCAUGAACAAACUCUAAAAGACGGUUUCGGCUGUCACUGCAGGAUGGGCCCGCGGGGCAUUAGCUAGUUGGUGUGGGAACGGCUUACCAAGGCGACGAUGCGUAGCCGACCGGAGAUGGUGAUCGGCCACACAGGGACUGAGACACGGCCCAGACUCCUACGGGAGGCAGCAGUAGGGAAUCUUCCACAAUGGACGAAAGUCUGAUGGAGCAACGCCGCGUGAGCGAAGAAGGUUUUCGGAUCGUAAAGCUCUGUUGUGAGGGAAGAACAAGUAUAGGAGUAACUGCCUGUACCUUGACGGUACCUCAUUAGAAAGCCACGGCUAACUACGUGCCAGCAGCCGCGGUAACAC
rnacentral:rRNA from 1 species